CAGACCUAUUUGAACAGUCUGAAUAAUAAAAAAUUUUUUUUUUUGAAUUUAAAAUUAAAUUUUUUGAGUGAAUUCAGACUAACUCAUUAAAUUUAAUUUAAAUUACCGGCUUUACUUUUGAUCACGGUCGCUUUGGCUUUAUUUAACAUGCUGGCAGCCAUCAUGAGACAUUAAAAAAAAAAAAAAGUUUACGUAAGCUUUCUUGCUUCUUUCUCUUCUUGCUCUUCGAUGAUCUCAGCUCCCUAGCUCUCCCUAAGCUCUUCCACCACCGGAUUGCCCAAAGGGGUUGCACUUUACCUGCUCAUCUUCCGCCACAGUAGUCAACCUGCCGCACAGCUUCACCACUGCAUCCAUGCUACUUCAAUCUUCUCUAGGCUUAAAACCUGGUUCCCACAUUCCACAUACCCUGUUAUCUCUGAUCCAAAUGAACGAAGCCACAGAACGAUCUCCCACCUCACCUAUCGGCUGCAGAUGAGGGUGCCCAUGAAACCCCCUUACCGCCGCUACAGAUUCUCCUACCAUGGAGAGUAUGAAAACCAAGACGCCACUUCGAUAGAUCCCUAAGUGGCACGUUGCCAUACAGAGAGUUGAAUCGCUAAACUAUGCCAAUUCUUCACGGAGUUUUCCUCUUCUUCGGCGUAAGUGGCCACCGGCGAGUUUGGAGGAGGAACGGUGGCGAAGUGGCCACUGGAGAUUGGAGCAGAAGCGACGGAGGGUCUUGUUGAAGAGUUUGAUCAUAGCGGUGAAGUGGGUAUGUGAUGGAAUUGGAUCGCGGUGAGAUGCGAGCAUGGGACAGAGGGUUGUGGUCUGUGAGUUGAAGUUGCAGAGUUGUUUUCAACUUUGCCUUGCGUUUCUGUUUGGAAUGAAGUUCUGAGGAAUUUUGAGUUUGACUUUUCUUGCUGAUUGUGUUUCUGAUCUUUUCCCCGCUAUUGGUCGAGAAAAAUUAUUGCAUACCGCAGCUAUAGGAGAAAAAAGUACUUUGUUGACCCAUUCCUUUUUGGAUUCGUGCUUCUUUGUAUCAUUCUAAUCUUCAUUAUUGAAUGAAGUUAUGACUGAGAGAAACAA